rnacentral:rRNA from 1 species
UACGUAGGGGGCAAGCGUUGUCCGGAAUUAUUGGGCGUAAAGAGCGCGUAGGCGGUCCGAUAAGUCGGCUGUGAAAGUCAGGGGCUCAACCCUUGGAAGCCGGCCGAUACUGUCGGACUAGAGUCCGGAAGAGGCGAGUGGAAUUCCUGGUGUAGCGGUGGAAUGCGCAGAUAUCAGGAGGAACACCGGUGGCGAAGGCGGGAUCCUGGGCCAGUACUGACGCUGAGGAGCGAAAGCGUGGGGAGCAAACAGG